UCAGACAUGGUGUAUGGAACACCGCCUCAUAAAUUGAGAAGCCGGUCACCUUAGUUAUGAAGCAGCCCGGGGUUCGACUCCCCGUGUCUGAA